rnacentral:rRNA from 1 species
AACGAACGCUGGUGGCAGGCUUAACACAUGCAAGUCGAACGACCUGGCGGCUUCGGUCCCCGAUGCUAGUGGCGCACGGGUGAGUAAAACGUGUGAAUAUGCCCUCUAGUACGGAAUAACCCAGGGAAACUUUGGCUAAUACAGUAUACGCCCUCCGGGGGUGAGAUUUAUCGCGCAAGGAUUAGCGCGCUUCUGAUUAGGUAGUUGGCGAGGUAAUGGCUCACCAAGCGGACGAUCAAUAGCUGGGCUGAGAGGCUGAUCAGCCACACUGGGAGUGAGCAGCAGCCCGGACUCCUACGGGAGGCAGCAGUGGGGAAUACUGGAAAGCGGCGGCAACGCUGAAGGAGCCAUGCCGGGUGAGUGAAGAAGUCCGGAGGGUAGUAAAGCGCUUUCGACGGGGACGAUGAUGACGGUACCCGUAGAAGAAGCCCCGGCAAACUACGUG